UUGACCUCGAAUCAGGUAGGAAUACCCGCUGAACUUAAGCAUAUCAAAA
rnacentral:rRNA from 2 species